AGAGUUUGAUCCUGGCUCAGAACGAACGCUGGCGGCGUGGAUUAGGCAUGCAAGUCGUGCGAGAAAGGGGUGGCAACACCCUGAGUACAGCGGCGAACUGGUGAGUAACAGGUGGGUAACGUGCCCUGAAGUUGGGGAUAACACCGGGAAACCGGUGCUAAUACCGAAUGUGAUCCUUCGGACCAUGGUCUGAAGGGUUAAAGCAGCAAUGCGCUUCAGGAUCGGCCCGCCCCCGAUUAGCUAGUUGGUGAGGUAAAAGCUCACCAAGGCGACGAUCGGUAGCUGGUCUGAGAGGAUGGUCAGCCACACUGGGACUGAGAUACGGCCCAGACUCCUACGGGGGGCAGCAGUCUAGAGGCUUCGGCAAUGGGGGCAACCCUGACCGAGCGACGCCGCGUGUGGGAUUGAAGGCCUUCGGGUCGUAAACCACUGUCAUAGGGGAAGAAUGCCCGGAUGGCGAAUCCGGGAGGGACGGUACCCUAGGAGGAAGCCCCGGCUAACUCCGUGCCAGCAGCCGCGGUAAUACGGAGGGGGCAAGCGUUGUUCGGAUUUACUGGGCGUAAAGGGUGUGUAGGCGGCUGGGCAAGUCUGGUGUGAAAUCUUCACCGCUUAACGGGAAGAGGUCACUGGAAACUGCCUAGCUCGAGUGUGGUAGAGGCAAGCGGAAUUCCUGGUGUAGCGGUGGAAUGUGUAGAUAUCAGGAAGAACAUCUGUGGCGAAGGCGGCUUGCUGGGCCAUCACUGACGCUGAGACACGAAAGCGUGGGGAGCAAACGGGAUUAGAUACCCCGGUAGUCCACGCUGUAAACGGUGCGCACUAGGUGUGGGAGGUAUCGACCCCUCCUGUGCCGAAGUUAACACAUUAAGUGCGCCGCCUGGGGAGUACGGGCCGCAAGGUUGAACUCAAGGAAUUGACGGAA
rnacentral:rRNA from 1 species